rnacentral:rRNA from 1 species
UAGCCCCUAAAAAAAAUUUAGGAUUUGAUGGCAAGGACCGGCCGAAAGAAAAUUAAAUUUAUUUUUUUUUUUAAGUGCUGCGAUAUUUCGUUUAAAAAUUCUUKGGCGAGUGGCAGAAAAUCGGAGGCCCCGACUGUUUACUAAAAACACAAUUUUCAGCAAUGAUUAAUAAUCAUAGUAUUGAAGAUGAAAUUUGCUCGAUGCCUGUAAUAUAACCAAGAGAAAUGGUCCCUUAAAGGGCUUUUCGCGUAAUAUUUUGUAAACCUAAAUCUAAAUUUUAAUCUAAAUCUAAACUUUCUCUCCCCCUCUAAUAAAUGGGGCCCGAAAGAAACCUAAAUGUUUUUUUUACACAAGGAUAAUUAAGCAAAUCUUAAACUUGAAAAGGUGGACAGCAAAUCUUUAUUAUAAAAUUGGAUCUUAAAGUUUAUUUUUAAAUAACUAGAGUAUUAAACGAUUUGUUAGCUGUUCUUUUGGGAAGUUCUGGUGAAUGGCGGUCUUAACUAUGAGGAUCCUAAGGUAGCAARAUAAAUUGGCCCAUUAAAUGUGGUCCGGUAUCAAUAAUGUAACGAUGGGCUCACUGGUCUCUAC